AUACGGAGGGUCCGAGCGUUAUCCGGAAUCAUUGGGUUUAAAGGGUCCGUAGGCGGGAAUCUAAGUCAGUGGUGAAAUCUUGCAGCUCAACUGUAAAAUUGCCAUUGAUACUGGAUUUCUUGAAUUAGUGUGAAGUGGUUAGAAUGUGUAGUGUAGCGGUGAAAUGCAUAGAUAUUACACAGAAUACCAAUUGCGAAGGCAGAUCACUAACACUAUAUUGACGCUAAGGGACGAAAGCGUGGGGAGCGAACAGGAUUAGAAACCCGGGUAGUCC
rnacentral:rRNA from 1 species